UCUCGGGAAACUGAGGCUAAUGAGCGAUAGGUCAAGAUUCCUGGAAUGGGUUUUGGUCUAAACGGCGUGACAGCAUCUUGUCGUGUCCGCCCGAGGAUGGGACUGCGGCCGAUCAGGCUGUUGGUGGGGUAAAGGCCCACCAAACCAGUAACCGGUACGGGCUUUGAGAGAAGGAGCCCGGAGAUGGACACUGAGACAAGGGUCCAGGUCCUACGGGGCGCAGCAGGCGCGAAACCUUCGCAAUGCGCGCAAGCGCGACGAGGUUAUUCCGAGUGAUUUCCGCUGAGGAAAUCUUUUCUUAGAUCUAAAAAGUCUGGGGAAUAAGGGGAGGGCAAGUCUGGUGUCAGCCGCCGCGGUAAUACCAGCUCCUCGAGUGGUCAGGGCGUUUAUUGGGCCUAAAGCAUCCGUAGCCUGCUCGGUAGGUCUCCUGUUAAAUCCAACGGCUUAACCGUUGGUCUGCAGGAGAUACCGCUGGGCUAGGAGGCGGGAGAGGCGGACGGUACUCCGAGGGUAGGGGUAAAAUCCUUUGAUCCCCGGAAGA
rnacentral:rRNA from 1 species